rnacentral:rRNA from 1 species
AUGAACGCUGGCGGCGUGCUUAACACAUGCAAGUCGAACGAUUAAAGCUCACUUCGGUGAGUGUAUAGAGUGGCGAACGGGCGAGUAACACGUGGGAAACCUGCCCCUUUCUUCGGGAUAACUUCGGGAAACCGUUGCUAAUACCGGAUACUCCGGGAUGGUCGCAUGGCCGACCCGGGAAAGCUUUAUGUGGAAAGGGAUGGUCCCGCGGCCCAUUAGCUUGUUGGUGGGGUAAUGGCCUACCAAGGCGAUGAUGGGUAGCCG